rnacentral:rRNA from 1 species
GACGAACGCUGGCGGCGUGCUUAACACAUGCAAGUCGAACGGAAAGGCCUCUUUCGGGGGGUACUCGAGUGGCGAACGGGUGAGUAACACGUGAGUAACCUGCCCUUGACUUUGGGAUAACUUCAGGAAACUGGGGCUAAUACCGGAUAGGAGAUCCUGCUGCAUGGAGGGGGUUGGAAAGUUUCGGGGGUUGGGGAUGGACUCGAGGGGUAUCGGCUUGGUGGUGGGGAAAUGGAUUGCCAAGGGCUUGCCGGGUAGCCGGCCAGUGGGGGUGAGCGGAGACCCUGAGACUGAGGGGAGGCCCAGACACCGACGCGUGGCAGAUGGGGGGAAGAUUGCACAAGGGGUGCAAGCCGGAUGCAGCAACGCCGCGUGCGGUAGGACGGCCUUAGGGUUGUAAACCGCAUGCGCUCAUGACGAAGCAUUGUGUGACGGUAGUGAGUAAAAAAGCACCGGCUAACUACGUG